UGCUUCGGCCGGGAAUCGAACCGAGGCCGCGUGGCAGACGAGCAUUCUACCACUGAACCACCGAUGGU